UACGUAGGGAGCGAGCGUUGUCCGGAAUGACUGGGCGUAAAGGGCGCGUAGGUGGCCCCUUAAGUUAGGAGUGAAAGUCCCGCUUUCAAGGUGGGAAUUGCUUUUGAUACUGGGGGGCUUGAGUGUGGGAGAGGAUAGCGGAAUUCCCGGUGUAGCGGUGAAAUGCGUAGAGAUCGGGAGGAACACCAGUGGCGAAGGCGGCUAUCUGGACCAAGACUGACACUGAGGCG
rnacentral:rRNA from 1 species